GCCCGGAUGGUCUAGUGGUAUGUUUUCAAUUUGUUAUCCUACUACAAUUUCCCCGCUAACAAAAUAACAAGGUAUGAUUCUCGCUUUGGGUGCGAGAGGUCGCGCGUUCGACUCGCGCUUCGGGCC